GGUGAGUCGGGUCCUAAGGCGAGGCCGACAGGCGUAGUCGAAUGGAUGAACGGGUCGAUAUUCCCGUACCGGCUUUCAGCCGCCAAAACCGAGGCUUGGAGUACUAACCUCCGGGUCCGGGCUUACUGCUCCUUCGGGGGCGGGAUGCCCUGGCCUGUUGGGACCGAUCCUUGUAGUAGGUCAGCGCAGGAGUGACGCAGAAGGGUAGCCGGCCGCGGAGGUGGUCUUCCGUGGUCAAGCACGCAGGGCGUGGGACAGGCAAAUCCGUCCCGCAUGGGUCCGAGGUGCGAUGAUGGGGGCCUUAUGGCCCGAUAUCCGGUGAUCCCGGCUGCCGAGAAAAGCUUCGGCGUCAGGCUCAAAGCCGCCCGUACCCCAAACCGACACUGGUGGUCAGGUAGAGAAUACCAAAGCGAUCGAGCGAAUCCUGGUCAAGGAACUCGGCAAAUCACUCCCGUUCCUUCGGUUUAAGGGAGACCCCCGAUGGUGAACACACUUGCUGUGGGAGCUUUUGGGGGUGGCACAGACCAGGGGGUAGCGACUGUUUACCAAAAACACAGGUGCAUGCGAAGGCGCAAGCCGCUGUAUAUGCACUGACGCCUGCCCGGUGCCGGAAGGUUAAGAGGAUCCGUCAGCCUUCGGGUGAAGCGGUGAAUUCAAGCCCCGGUAAACGGCGGUGGUAACUAUAACCAUCCUAAGGUAGCGAAAUUCCUUGUCGGGUAAGUUCCGACCUGCACGAAUGGCGUAACGACUUCCCCACUGUCUCGACCAGGAGCUCGGCGAAAUUGCAGUACGAGUAAAGAUGCUCGUUAAGCGCAGAAGGACGAAAAGACCCCGGGACCUUUACUAUACCUUGGUAUUGGCAUUCGGUGUGGAUUGUGUAGCAUAGGCGGGAGGCCGAGAGGCGCGGUCGCCAGAUCGCGCGGAGCCGUAAGGUGAAAUACCGCUCUGUUCGCAUUGGAUGUCUAACCUCGAACAGUCAUCCUGUUCAGGGACAGUGCCUGGCGGGUAGUUUAACUGGGGCGGUUGCCUCCCAAAGAGUAACGGAGGCGCCCAAAGGUCCGCUCAGCCCGGUUGGCAAUCGGGUGGCGAGUGCAAGUGCACAAGCGGGCUUGACUGCGAGGACGACGGUCCGAGCAGGGACGAAAGUCGGGACUAGUGAUCCGGUGCCGGUGUACGGACGCGGCAUCGCUCAACGGAUAAAAGGUACCCCGGGGAUAACAGGCUGAUCAUUCCCAAGAGUCCAUAUCGACGGGAUGGUUUGGCACCUCGAUGUCGGCUCGUCGCAUCCUGGGGCUGGAGCAGGUCCCAAGGGUUCGGCUGUUCGCCGAUUAAAGCGGCACGCGAGCUGGGUUCAGAACGUCGUGAGACAGUUUGGUCUCUAUCCUCUGCGCUCGUUGGAAUGCUGAGGAGGCCUGCCCAUAGUACGAGAGGACCUGGGUGGACGAACCUCUGGUAUGCCGGUUGUCACGCCAGUGGCACGGCCGGUUGGCUACGUUCGGAAGGGAUAACCGCUGAAAGCAUCUAAGCGGGAAGCCUGCUCCAAGAUAAGCAUUCCGUGGAACCUUCGAGUUCCUGUAGUCCCCAUGCAGAACACGUGGUCGAUAGGCCGGACGUGGAAGCCCCGCGAGGGGUGGAGCCGACCGGUACUAACGGACGAAAGGCAACACUA
rnacentral:rRNA from 1 species